GCAGCCAUGGCCUACUGGUUAGGGCUUCAGGCUUGUAACCGAAAGGUUGCCGGUUCGAUCCCCGCCCAGUAGGA
rnacentral:tRNA from 1 species